rnacentral:rRNA from 1 species
CUGCCCUUCAGAGGGGGAUAACAACGGGAAACCGUUGCUAAUACCGCGUACGAUUCAUAGGCGGCAUCGCUUGUGAAUGAAAGGUGGCCUCUAUAUAUAAGCUAUCGCUGAAGGAGGGGAUUGCGUCUGAUUAGCUAGUUGGAGGGGUAACGGCCCACCAAGGCAAUGAUCAGUAGCCGGUCUGAGAGGAUGAACGGCCACAUUGGGACUGAGACACGGCCCAA